AUAUACUCCACUAAAAUCUGUUCUUAUCAGUUUAAUAUCUGAUACAUCAUCUAGCCAAAUAUAUAUAAAUGGAUAUUUGGAAGUAGGAGAUGGAAUAGGAGUUUGCUCCAUCUACUCCAUACAUUGAGUUGGUAUUAUAGUACUCCCAGGAACAGUGCACUUCCU
rfam:Canis lupus familiaris chromosome 5, whole genome shotgun sequence.